rnacentral:ncRNA from 2 species
UGAAAACCCUAGGGGAGCCUUUGGCUGAGACGGGAAACCGGACCCUUUGAACCUGAACAAGUUAAAGCUUGCGGAGGAAAGUGGUACAAGUGAAUG